rnacentral:rRNA from 1 species
CCCUAUUAUUAUAAUAAAUUAAAGAUUAUUAUAUUUGAAAAUUAAUAAUUUUGGCGGUUAAUUUUUUUUAGAGGAGCUUGUAUAGACAGAAUUAGCUCUUUAAAUUUUAAUAUUAAUAUAAUUUAUUCAUCUCCGUUAUCAAAAUUAAUUUAAUAAGUAAUUUUCUUAAAAUAUCAGGUCAAGAUGUAGUUUUUAUUAACUUGAUAUUAGCUACAAUUAUAAAAUAAAUGGAUUUUAGAAUUAUAAAGAUUGUUAAUUAAAUUUGAAUUUGAAUUUAAUUGUAAUAAUAAUUAGAAAGUUGUUAUGAAUUUGAUUUAUUGAUGUA